rnacentral:rRNA from 1 species
CNUGCAGUCGAGCGGAUGACNGGAGCUUGCUCCUGAAUUCAGCGGCGGACGGGUGAGUAAUGCCUAGGAAUCUGCCUGGUAGUGGGGGACAACGUUUCGAAAGGAACGCUAAUACCGCAUACGUCCUACGGGAGAAAGCAGGGGACCUUCGGGCCUUGCGCUAUCAGAUGAGCCUAGGUCGGAUUAGCUAGUUGGUGAGGUAAUGGCUCACCAAGGCGACGAUCCGUAACUGGUCUGAGAGGAUGAUCAGUCACACUGGAACUGAGACACGGUCCAGACUCCUACGGGAGGCAGCAGUGGGGAAUAUUGGACAAUGGGCGAAAGCCUGAUCCAGCCAUGCCGCGUGUGUGAAGAAGGUCUUCGGAUUGUAAAGCACUUUAAGUUGGGAGGAAGGGCAUUAACCUAAUACGUUAGUGUUUUGACGUUACCGACAGAAUAAGCACCGGCUAACUCUGUGCCAGCAGCCGCGGUAAUACAGAGGGUGCAAGCGUUAAUCGGAAUUACUGGGCGUAAAGCGCGCGUAGGUGGUUNGUUAAGUUGGAUGUGAAAGCCCCGGGCUCAACCUGGGAACUGCAUUCAAAACUGACGAGCUAGAGUAUGGUAGAGGGUGGUGGAAUUUCCUGUGUAGCGGUGAAAUGCGUANAUAUAGGAAGGAACUC